rnacentral:rRNA from 1 species
UACGUGAGGGUGCAAGCGUUUAAUCGGAAUUACUGGGCGUAAAGGCGUGCGCAGGCGGUUUUGUAAGUCAGAUGUGAAAUCCCCGGGCUUAACCUGGGAACUGCGUUGAAACUACAAGGCUAGAGUGUGGCAGGAGGGGGGUGGAAUUCCACGUGUAGCAGUGAAAUGCGUAGAUAUGUGGAGGAACACCGGAUGGCGAAGGCAGCCCCCUGGGUUAACACUGGACGCUCAUGCACGAAAGCGUGGGGAGCAAACAGG